CCUUCCAGGUUUGCAUGGAACAGUUGGGGAGAAGUUAAAUCACGCUAGACUCGGACAUCAAAAGGAGGUGUUCGUGGUGCAGAGAAAGCAGUAAAUGUCGAAAUGGAGAGUGUUGGUGCAUGAUUACAACAGCCGUCCAGCCCCGGUAUCCUCUCAGAUUCUGAACACAUCAACCCCUCCUGACAUGUCAUCUUUCCAGUUUAGGAUAGCAAAACAUCAAUGUAUGUGCCAAAGUAGAAUUCAUCAACUUUAGCCUUGAUCUCUUUGACCAGCUCAUCGUCUCUACACACCCUAUCUACAUUGAAGUCACCCCUUGUAUUUGUCACCAGAUCACACCAAGCUAAGCCAGUAACCAUCAGCUGACCUUGGACUUGCCAAUGGGCACUUAACUUCUACCAGGCCAUAGGAAGGUUCUUCAUUUGGGUGCACCACUUUGCCAUCUGGACUUGCACUAAGGUGUGGAGCAUCUGGGUGGAUGAUGAAACCAGAUGGAAGAACAUUAACAUCAAAGAAACGAUGCAUUGCUUUGGUGUGGGGGGCACCUUUAAUGAUCCGGCCAGCCCGUGUCAUUGCAGUGGAUUCGGACCUCACAUGAGCUGCUUCAUAGAACUUGCUUGCUAUGUCACCUCCAGACUCUGCAUAUGCAGGAGUUCAGCGAAGCUGCCAGCGACGAAAUUAUAUGGUGGAAGCUUGUAUUGUGGGACAGGUAAUGGGGGGAAUUGUGGAGCAUUUGGAUUUGUAAGUACAUCCUUUGACAGCACAGCUGGACACUGGUAUGACAGCAGUGAUCCUUUUGGGACCUCUCCAAAUUGAGAAGACACCAUGGUUAGAGCAGACAUUCCAUCAACUAUCUUCGCUAUCAGUGGUUGUGGACAACGGGAAAUGAGGGAUGCUGCUCCAGC